AACCAACCUCUAGCCCAACCACACCCUUAUAAUAAAACAAACUAAAAACCCAUUACCCAAUUAUAAUUAAAACAUUCUCCUGACUUAGUAUAGGCGAUAGAAAAGUCUAACGGCGCAAUAGAGACCUGUACCGCAAGGGAAAGAUGAAAUAAAAAUGAAAAACAAAGUACCAAACAGCAAAGAUCAACCCUUGUACCUCUUGCAUCAUGAUUUAGCAAGAACAACCAAGCACAAAGAAUUUUUAGCUUGCCACCCCGAAACCCAAGCGAGCUACUCUCAAGCAGCUAUCCAUGAGCAAACCCGUCUCUGUCGCAAAAGAGUGGGAUGACUUGUUAGUAGAGGUGAAAAGCCUACCGAGCUGGGUGAUAGCUGGUUACCUACAAAAUGAAUUUAAGUUCUUCCUUAAUCCUCCCCCAAUGACCCCCUCUACAACCCAUAAUGAAGUAGAUUAAGAGUAAUUUAAAGGAGGUACAGCUCCUUUAAAAAAGAGCACACUCUCUGCCAGCGGAUAACCCCCCAUGCUCCUUAAACUUGUAGGCCCUAAAGCAGCCACCAAUAAAGAAUGCGUCAAAGCUCUACCCUUAAAAAUAUACAAACAACGAGACUCCCUCCCCACUAGUAGGUUAACCUAUUAACAAUAGAAGAAUUUAUGCUAAAAUGAGUAACUAGGGACCACUCCCUCCACCAGCGCAAACUUACAUUCCCCCAAAUUAUUAACAGAAUGCUCGUCAAUUAAUAUACACACUCCAACAAGACCUAAUAUUAUCCUUUCUGUUACUCCAACUCAGGAGCGCCCAUAUAAAGAUUUAAAUUUGUAAAAGGAACUCGGCAAACACAAGACCCGACUGUUUACCAAAAACAUAGCCUUCAGCAAACCAAGUAUUGAAGGUGAUGCCUGCCCAGUGACAGUACGUUUAACGGCCGCGGUAUCCUAACCGUGCAAAGGUAGCGCAAUCAAUUGUCCCAUAAAUUGAGACCUGUAUGAAUGGCUAAACGAGGUCUUAACUGUCUCUUACAAAUAAUCAGUGAAACUGAUCUUCCUGUGCAAAAGCAGGAAUAAACACAUAAGACGAGAAGACCCUGUGGAACUUUAAAAUCAGCAGCCACCAUAAAAAAACUCCAACCUACUAGGCCCUACUACACUCUUUUUCAUAACACUGGCCUGCAUUUUUUGGUUGGGGCGACCUUGGAGAAAAACAAACCCUCCAAAAACAGGGCAAUAUCCCUUAACUAAGAGCAACCCCUCAAUGUGCUAACAGCAACCAGACCCAAUUUAAUUGAUCAAUGAACCAAGCUACCCCAGGGAUAACAGCGCAAUCUCCUUUAAGAGCCCCUAUCGACAAGGAGGUUUACGACCUCGAUGUUGGAUCAGGACACCCUAAUGGUGCAGCCGCUAUUAAGGGUUCGUUUGUUCAACGAUUGACAGUCCUACGUGAUCUGAGUUCAGACCGGAGCAAUCCAGGUCGGUUUCUAUCUAUGACCAACUUUCCCUAGUACGAAAGGACCGGGGAAGUGAGGCCUAUACUCCAAGCACGCCUCCCCUUUAAGUAAUGACUCCAACUAAAUUACCAAAAGGGCCACCCAACACAACCACAUCCUAGAAAAGGAAC
rnacentral:rRNA from 1 species